CUAUUCUACCCCAAAAUUUUCUUGAAAACCCACCGUUGCCCAUUUUGAAAACAAAAAAACCCCUAAUCUCAUUCGCACUCCUCUCUUCCAUCGCCUUCUCUCUCCACCCUCCCCCACGCUCUGCACCCUUCCCCAUCGCUCUCUCACUGCGAGCUCGACUGCCGUCCUCCGAUCCGCCGCCGCCGGUCAGUGUCGCCGCCGCCGACGAAGACGACCGCCGCGAUCGAUCGACCGAGAGGCCGGUGAGAGGCCGGUGAGCGGCGCGCGAGGUCGGCGGAUCCCCGAUCGGGAAUGUCUUGGGUGGGAUGGAACCGGACGUCCGAGAGCUUCCACCUGGCGCUCGCGUAUGGCACCGCGGAGGAUCCGGGCCACGCCGGCGUCGAGGAUCCGACGCGCGUCGGUCUCGUCAACGGCGUCGUCGGGAUCGGGGUCGGGGUUGUCGCUGGGGUUGAUGUCGCCGCGGCAUUUUUUGCUGACUGUUGUCUCUCUCUCUUUGUUCUGUUUGAUAUCCCCACCAGGCGAGAAUGCCAAGUCUCGGGGGCUCUCGAUCGAGAAGAAGAUUGAGUUCCUGGAGAGUUUGACUGGAGGGGUGAGUGCAUUGAGUGAUGCGUGGAUGCGGAAUGACCUUAUGGAACUUCAUUUAAUUGCUAUCCAUCAUAAUCCCAUUCCUGCUUUGGGGUGUUCAUUCACCUGUUUACAGGUAUACCAGGGCUUCAAACAUCCAUGUUGACUGUCGUGAAGAUGCUAAUGAGCUUAGCUGAGGUUAAUGACGGUGAAAUAUCGACACCUUGUCACUUUCAAAAUUCAUGGAUCUAAUUGCUGAUGAAGGUCUGAGAGGUCACUCAAAGGAUUCAUCCUCCACUUCAUCUGGGGAGUCAAGCAGACCAGACAAAUCAUCUUUGUGGUCAAAAGACAUGGCAGCUUAUGUGCUAUAAUGACCUUUAAUUCUAUCUAUGACAGGAGCAUUUGAACUUUUAUUAUGUACGCUUUGCAUGUAAACAGAGAAUAGAUAUUUGAGAAACUGUGUUGUAUCAAGGUUUGUUGUACAUAGUAUUCUAGCUUGAUCAAAUGGCUCUAAGUUUAGGAAAUAUUUAAGGAUGUUUGUAAUUUUAAAGGAUAAUAAAUUUAUUUCCUCGGGGCAGAUGUUAUUCCAUUUAUUAUAAUAAAGGUUUUUUUUUUAAA